UACGUAGGGUGCAAGCGUUGUCCGGAAUUAUUGGGCGUAAAGAGCUUGUAGGCGGUUUGUCGCGUCUGCUGUGAAAUUUCGGGGCUCAACCCCGAACUUGCAGUGGGUACGGGCAGACUAGAGUGCGGUAGGGGAGACUGGAAUUCCUGGUGUAGCGGUGAAAUGCGCAGAUAUCAGGAGGAACACCGAUGGCGAAGGCAGCUCGCUGGGACGGUACUGACGCUGAGGCGCGAAAGCGUGGGGAGCAAACAGG
rnacentral:rRNA from 1 species